CCAUUUCAAUUUUGGUGCCAGUGAAGAGCACACGUUUUUCAUAAAAUUGGCAAAUAAAUUUUAAAUAUAAUUAAAAAUAAAAAAAUUAAAUUAAAAAUGGAUGGUUCUUGAAAUCAAUUUUUUGAGGUCACAGGUUUUCCUUGUGAUCGUGACUUGUAAAAUAAAGUACCUACCCAAGCGAGUAAUAUCCACGGGUUUUCAUUUCGAAAUAAAAAGCUAAAAGAUUCGGCCCAACUUUAUGUCUAAACUUUAUGAGAAAAUAUUGAUAUUGUAGUCGGACAAAGAAGAGAUGCUUCUCUUGGCACAACGCCAAAUGAUUGAAAAUCCCAGAUGAGGAUGAAAUCGGUAUCUUCUUAAAAACAAAUAAUUCUUGAUAAUAAAUAUAAUAAUUGUUAAAUAUUGAAAUACCUAUCUGUUUUAAAUAAAAAAUAAAUUUUUAAAA